UCUUUUCUUUUGAUAGGAGAGUUUUUAAAACCAGUGUUAUUUUUGUAAGUUUAAGAGAAGUUUGUGUAUUGAAUUUUUUAUUUUUAAUAUUAAAGAGCUUUGUUAAACUUAGACUUAAGUUUAGGUCAUUUUGGGGGUUUAGCUCAGUUGGCUAGAGCAUCGGCUUUGCAAGCCGAGGGUCAAGGGUUCGAGUCCCUUAACCUCCAUUGGGCUUAUGUCCUAAAUCGUAAUUAAGUAUGUUUUUAAGUAACUUUGUUAAAGUAAUUGUUGGAAUGUGAAACAGAGGAAGUUAAAAUUUCUGGGUUAAGUUGAGAUCUGUUGAUAUUAAGAAGAAUCUCUAGAAGCAAAAGCAAGCUUUCGAUAAAACCCGAAGUUGUUUCGCUAAAGUGCAAGGAUUAAACAGGAUUGUAUUUUCCAGUAGCCUAUUUUAUAAACGAUCUGCAUUUAGUAAAUAGUUUUUAGUUAAGAAAUAAUGUAGAUUGCUAAGUGUGAUGCCUGAAAGAAGGACAAGUAUUGUAGCGAGCCUAAAUCCUUGUUAUCGUUGUCAGUAUUUAGUGGUAGGGAUUCGGAUAAGACUGCCAUUUAUAAGUUGGAGGAAGGCAAAGAUUGCAUUAAAUCGUUAUCGCUCUUAUGUUUUAGGUUACAAGUUUGCCACAAUAACCCAAAAAAGCUAAGCAAAAUGCUAUAAAGCAGAUUUCAGUUUGGAUUUGCCCGACACUCAAUGGCAUGAAGUUGUAAUUGUUAGUAAUCG
rnacentral:tRNA from 1 species